rnacentral:lncRNA from 1 species
AUCAAACUUCUGAAUAUUCUCACAGCUGCUGUGGAGCUCACAUGGGAGACGGUGUCGUUUGCGGAAAGUCUCCUCGGAGAGUUCCGAGCCCGCAGAGAGCUCCGGGUCCCAUCCCUCCGGGCUGAACAGCC